rnacentral:rRNA from 1 species
UACGGAGGGAGCUAGCGUUGUUCGGAAUCACUGGGCGUAAAGCGCACGUAGGCGGAUGUGUCAGUCAGGGGUGAAAUCCCGGAGCUCAACUUCGGAACUGCCUCUGAUACAGCACGUCUUGAGUCCGGAAGAGGUGGGUGGAAUUCCUAGUGUAGAGGUGAAAUUCGUAGAUAUUAGGAAGAACACCGGUGGCGAAGGCGGCCCACUGGUCCGGUACUGACGCUGAGGUGCGAAAGCGUGGGGAGCAAACAGG